rnacentral:rRNA from 1 species
GAUGAACGCUGGCGGCGUGCCUAAUACAUGCAAGUCGAGCGAACAGACGAGGAGCUUGCUCCUCUGACGUUAGCGGCGGACGGGUGAGUAACACGUGGAUAACCUACCUAUAAGACUGGGAUAACUUCGGGAAACCGGCGCUAAUACCGUAUAAUAUAUUGCACCGCAUGGUUCAAUAGUGAAAUACGGUUUUUCUGUCACUUAUAGCGGGAUCCGCGCCGCAUUAGCUAGUUGGUAAGGUAACGGCUUACCAAGGCAACGAGGCGUAGCCGACGUGAGAGGGUGAUCGGCCACACUGGAACUGAGACGCGGACCAGAGUCCUACGGGAGGCAGCAGUAGGGAAUCUUACGCAACAGGCGAAAGCCUGACGGAGCAACGCCGCGUGAGUGAUAAAGGUCUUGGGAUCGUAAAACUCUGUUAUGAGGGAAGAACAAAUGUGUAAGGAAAUAUGCACGUCUUGACGGUACCUAAUCAGAAAGCCACGGCUAACUACGUG